ensembl:ncRNA F15C11.6 ncRNA
GUUGAGAAAUAAAAUACUUCCUGAAUUUUUGUUGUUGAACAUUUUUUGAUAUACCUGAAGACAACCGAGAUAUAAACCGGCGGAAUAGAGCUAGAGCACGGGUUCAAUAGUGAAAAUAGAAUAUUCCAAAUCAAACCUAU